AGAUUUGCUCUGGCCAGCAGAUGACACAAAGUGAUGGUCCCGAGGCCCGGGCUCAAGAGGCUUAGGGUGCUUCUGCCCUCUCCUGGAAAUGCUGCAGGGGGGGCGGGCAGGACCAGCCCAGCAGAGAAGUGGUUCAGAAGCAGAAGUGGGUAUGAGCUGGCAAUACUCUUCUCCAUCCUUGCUCUUCUGUAAGAAUGCGAGGACCAUGUGACAGCUGGAACUUUCCAGCCAUCAAGCAGCCCUGAGGGGAAGAAGAGGCUUCUUUUUUUGGCAGCAGGGUCUGCUAUGGAGAACUUUGUUCAAAAUAUCAGCUCCUACACUCUCCACUAACUUCAGAGAUGGAAAGAGACAGUAUGUCUACUUGGUCUGAGCACAUCGCGUCAUACUUGUUUACAGACGUUGGGGAGACCACAUCUUGGAAGAAAUAGUCGUGCAAAAAGAUUGACUCCAAGUCCUAAUUUUUCAAAUGUGACAUCACCAAGAAAAUGGUUCUCACAAAAGGUGCAGAAACUCCAGGAAUGAGGGUCUCUGGAUCAGAACCUGCGUCUGAACAUUAGUGGGAAGGUUUUCGUGGAAGGCCUGCACAGUCCCUUCUGAUUGUCUUGGGAACAGAUGGAGAAAAAAAAAAGUGAGCCCAAAGAGAGGCAGUUGGAAGCACAGUGGUAUCCGAGCCAGCAUAGCGCUGGGCUACAGAGGUGGCUCCUGGGAAGUGUCUGCCCAUGGGAAGAGACAAAGGGUGCAGGGACCUGCACGGACCCUAUUCUGUUCCCUGACAGCUCCUGAACUUUAUCCAGUGAAAUCUGAGUCUUGAGAGUGAUUGUUCUCUGAGUGAUUCCAUUAAGUGUGAACUUCACGUAGAGCAUUUUAUGAAGCCCCAGUUGUGUUAACAUGACCACCAAGAAGCGUGGGCUCUCAGGGGCCUCCCUCUCUGGGACCCCAAGCUUCAUGGGAUGAGUUCUCUUGCAAACCUUCCUCUCCAUGAGAGAGCUGCUUCGGGGCUCGAGGUUAAGGGUAGGACGCUGUGAGGCAGGACACCACAGUUAUCUCCAUGGGGUGCAAUUACCAGCACUCCAAAUAUCUGUAUGACCUUGACUUAAGGGAAGAAUCUGUACCUUCCCAUUGACACCUUCACUUAUUCCCUUACUGAUGCUCACCUCAGCUCCUUAGAGUCGUGGCCUACAGUUUCCACCCAGAAGUGACACAUCCCAUACUAUCUACUAACUGGCCUGACUCUCCUUCCAUCCCACUGCAAGAAUACAUCUUUGCUAUCCUGAAGCUUGGCCACUUGUGUGGACCAAUGGCAAAUGAGCGGAAGUCACUAGACCUUCAUAGAGGUGGGGCAUGUAAGAGCUGGUGGGUCACUUUUCCCUGCUCCUCUUCCCCUCCCACAUUAGCUGAGAAGGACAGAGUUUUAAUUGGAUAAAACAACUCUGAGUGAAGACUGUGAAGGUGUAUUCUCUCAUGAGAUCUAAGAGGCACAGAACACCCCCCACUAGGCGAGGGAAAGGGGCCUGGGGCCAGAAAGCACAGAAAUAGGAGAGGUGAGAACUGUAUCUCAAAAACUGUACAUGUUGGGCACCUGGGUGGCUCAGUGGUUGAGAAUCUGCCUUCAGCUCAGGGCGUGAUCCUGGGGUCCUGGGAUCGAGUCCUGCAUCGGGCUCCCCACAGGGAGCCUGCUUCUCCCUCUGCCUGUG